rnacentral:rRNA from 1 species
UUCAAGGGGUAAGCCAUGCAUGUCUCAGAGCAAAUGGAAGACAACAGUGGAUCUGUGAAUGGCUCCUUACAUCAGCAGUCACCUCAGUGAUGAAGUGUGAACAGCACCAAGGUGCAGGUGCUCAAUUGGACAUCCUUCAAAACCUAGUGGGUAAUACACGGAAGCAACAGUUUGUCACAAGCAGCGUGUGCCUGUCCAGUGAUAGGUGCAACAGUGAGUAGAGAGUAUCCAGCUGGGUUCAAGACCUGUGACCGCAAGGUCAGCGUGCCAGAGAGAUGACUCAGGCUGGUUCCAAGGGACAGCAACAUUGGCAAACACAGUGAGCUAUCAUGCUAUUGCUUGAUCACAAGGACUUUUGACCUAUCAGCUUUGACUGUGGUGUGGUGGACCCCAGUGGCAGUGACGGGUAACGGAGAAUUUGGGUUUGACUCCGGAGAGGCAGCCUGAGAGACGGCUACCCCUACCAAGGUGGGCAGCCGGCGCGCAAAUUGCCCAAUACCAAAACCAAAGGUGAGGCAGGGACGAACAGCAGCAAUUUGGCUGGGAUCACUUUCAGCUGAACUUGGAAUGGAUGCUAUCCAAACACAGUGAUGAGUAGCC